GUUGAGAAUCACUGGUCUAUGUCAUGGAAGAGCAGGUGUUCUCAAUGUUUUGUACACUCCGUGUAUUACCACGGCAGUUUCCAGAUAUGCAGGUUGGCAAGGCUUCUGAAGACACCAGGGGACAGCUUAUUGUCAUCUACUGUAGCAUCAGCACCUCAAGAGUUUGAAAUCGCAUGCCAUUAUCCUUUGCCCUAUUCAGUAGGAGUAAAUAUGAACAUAUUCCAGACACUUCUAGAAUUCAAAAAGUUACUUAAGUGUCUAUUGCCUAUCACUAUUAGCAGGUAUUCUGUUCAAAAGUGUAUGAAGAGAGAACACUUGGUAAAUUUCUUCUCUUUGUCAUCCUAUACUUCCACCCAGUGGAAUAUAAGGUACUACACCCAACUUUUACCAGAUAACAAAUCAAAAGAGCCACAUUUCUGAGCACUUGCACACCAGGAAGCCACUCGUUUCAUUCUAGUGGUUAAACCCUGUUGAGCAGGAAGGUUUAAUCUAUGACUGAGGGAACUAAACCAGAAAACGGCACUUACCUACAGUUUAAAAUCUACAAUAAAAACAAUGUGAUUCCAAUAUGAACAUGAACUCACAGCUGUGAGGGGUCAUAGCGAGGGGCAGCCUUGUUGGGAGGAAGGCCUGAAGCUGAUUUUGUUUGGCAUGUUAUUUUGGCAUUAAUACGUGUCACAUACAUUUGCAAACUAUGUAAAAAUAUAUAUUGAGUUAAUA